GUGUGUUCUGUUUGACUAUACUGGGUCAUGUGGAUAUCCCUGGAACAAUCACAAGGGCCAGGUAGGUAGUGUAUUCUGAUUGCCUCCCCUGGAUCAAGUGGCUAGCCCUGGACUAAUCAUGAUGGCUAUGUAGUUGGUGAAUUCUGAUUCACUAUCCUGGAUCAUGUGACUACACUUGGAUGAAUCACCAUGGCAAGGUAGGUAGUGUAUUCAGAUGAACUCUCCUGGGUCAUGUUCCUAGCCCUGGACCAAUCAACAAGACCAGGUAGGUAGGGUAUUCUUAUUGCCUCUCUUCAGUCAUGUGGCUAGCCCUGGACAAAUUACUUCGGCCAGGUAGGUAGUGAUUCUGAUUGGAUAUCCUGGGUCAUGUGCCUAUCCCUGGAUCAAUCACCAGGGACAGGAGGUAGUGAAUUCAGACUGACCCUUAUAGGUUAUGUGCCUAUCCCUGGACUAAUCACCAUGGCACCAUAGUUGGUGAAUUGUGAUUACCCACUGGAUCAUGUGACUCCAUUUGGACCAAUCACCAUGGCAAAGUUAGAAGUGUAUUCUGAUAGGCUCUUCUGGGUCAUGGCUCCUCUGGGUCAUGUCUAGCCCUGGACCAAUCACCAGGAUCAUCAUGUAGUAUAUUCUGAUUGGCUCUCUUGGGUCAUGUGGCUAGCCCUGGGCCAAUCAUUUUGGCCACAUAGGUAUUGUAUUCUGAUUGGCUCUCUUGGAUCAUAGGGCUAGCCCUAGACCAAUCACCUUGGCCAUGUAAGUACUGUAUUCUAUUGGCUCCCUUGGUCAUGUGGUUAGCCCUGGACCAAUGACCUCAGCACGGUAGGUAGUAUAUUAUCAUUGGCUCUCUUGGGUCACAUGGCUAGCCCUGGACCAAUCACCUCAGCCAGGUAGGUAGUGUUUUCUGAUUGGAAAUAAGGGUCAUGUGGCUAGCCCUGGACCAAUCACUGAGGCCAGGAGGUACUGCAUUAUGAUUGGCUGUCUUGGGUCUUGUGGCUAGGGCUGGAUAAAUCACCUCCACCAGGUAGGUAGUUUAUUCUGAUUGCAUAUCUUGGGUCAUACCCUGUCCCUGGAUCAAUAACCAUAGCCAGGGGGUAGUGUAUUCUGAUUGGCUCUCAUAGGUCAUGUGCCUAUCCCUGGACUCAUCACCAUGGCCCCUACUUGGUGAAUUUGAUUGGCUAUCCUGGAUCAUGUGACUACCCUUGGACCAAUCACCGUGGCAAGGUAGGUAGUUUAUUGUGAUUGGCUCUCUUGGGUGAUGUUGCUAGCCCUGGACCAAUCACCUCCACCAUGUAGGUAGUGUAUUCUGAUGGCUGUCUCGGUCUUGUGGCUAGACUGAACCAAUCACCUAGCCAGAUAGGGAGGUUAUUAUGAUUUUAUAUCCUGGGUCAUAGCAUAUCCCUGGACCAAUAGCCAUAGCCAGGAAGUAGUGUAUUCUGUUUGGCUCCCAUAGGUCAUGUGCUUAUCCCUGGACUAAUCACCAUGGCCACCGAGUUGGUGAAAUCUGUUUCCCUAUCCUGGAUCAUGUGACUCCCCUGGGACCAAUCAUCAUGGCAAGGUAGGAAGUGUAUUCUGAUUGGUGCCUCUGGGUCAUGUGACUAGCCCUGGACCAAUCACCAGCAACAGGUAGGUAGUGUAUUCUGAUGGGCUUUCUUGGGUCAUGUGCUAGCCCUGGCCCAGUCAGUUCUGCUAGGUAGGGAGUGUAUUGUGGUUGGAUAUCCUGGGUCAUAUGCCUACCCCUGGACCAAUCACCAUAGCCAGGAGGUAGUGAAUUCUGAUUUGCACUCACAGGUCAUGUGCCUAUCCCUGGAGUAAUCACCAUGGCCACUUAGUUGGUGAAUUCUUAUUGGCUAAUCUGGAUCAUGUGUCCACCAUUGGACCAAUCACCAUGGCAAGGGAGGAAGUGUAUUCUGAUUGGCUCCCCGGGGUCAUGUGCCUAGCUGUGAACCAAUCGCCAGGGCCAGGUAGCUAGUGUAUUCUGAUUGGCUCUCUUGGGUCAUGUGGCUAGCCCUGGACCAGUCACUUUGGCUAGGUAGGCAGUGGAUUCUGAUUGGAUGUCCUGGGUCAUGUGGAUAGCCUUGGACCAAUGACCAGAGGCAGGAGGUAGUGGAUGCUGAUUGGCCCUCCUGGGUCACGUGCCUCUCCCUGGACUAAUCACCAUGGCUACAUAGUUGCUGAAUUCUGAUUGGCUCUCCUGGAUCAUGUGACUACCCUUGGACCAUUCACCAUGGCCAGGUAGGUAGUGUAUUCCUUUUGGCUCUCCUGGGUCAUGUGCCUAUCCCUGGACUAAUCACCAUGGCAAGGUAUGUAGUGCAUUCUGGUUGGCUCUCCUGGGUCAUGUGGCUAGCCCUAGACCUAUCACCUUGCCCACAUAGGUAGUGUAUUCUAUUGGCUGUCUUGGGUCAUGUGGCUAGUCCUGGACCCAUCACCUGACCAUGUAGGUAGUGUAUUCUGAUUGGAUAUCCUUGGUCAUUUGGCUAGCCCUGGACGAAAAGCUGUGGCCAUGUAAUUGGUGAAUUCUCAUUGGCUAUCCUGGAACAUGUGAGUACCCUUGGACCAAUCACCAUGGCAAGAUAGAGACAGUGUGAGCAGGGGAGAGGCAGAGAGAGAGAGGAAGACACAUUAUCCGAAGCAGGCUCCAGGCUCUGAGCAGUCAGCACAGAGCCUGAUGCGGGGCUCAAACCCACGAACCGUGAGAUCAUGACCUGAGCUGAAGUCUGACUCUCAACCAACUGAGCCACCCAGGUGCCCCAAGGUCAUGUGCCUAUCCCUGGACUAAUCACCAUGGCCACGUAAUUGGUGAAUUCUCACUGGCUAUCCUGGAUCAUGUGACUACCGUUGGAGCAAUCACGGUGGCAAGGUCAUGUGCCUAUCCCUGGACUAAUCUCCAUGGCCACGUAGUUGGUGAAUUUUAAUUGGCUAUCUUGGAUCAUGUGACUACCUUCAACCAAUUAUCAUGAGAGAGAGAGUGAGCAUGGCAGGAGCAGAGAGAGAGGAUCCUAAACUGGUUCCAUGCUAUCAGCACCGAGCCCAGAGUGGGGAUCCCUCCCACGAACUGGGAGAUCAUGACCUGAGCUGAAAUCAAGAGUUGGACACUUACCUGACUGAGCCACCCAGGCGCAAGUCACUUUUAACCCAACAGAUGAAGACACCAUUCAAAGGGCUGGUAAAACAAAAAGAAAGAAGAAAUCUGGGUCCCUGGAUGAAUUUUUAGAGCAGUUUCCCUAUUCCUCAGUCUACCUCCCGGGUCAGACUUUUCUGUGAGGGAGAAAUAAAUUUUCUGUCUUGCAAAAGAUCAUUGUUAUCUGAUCUCUGUUAAGGUGCCCAAACAAACUAACACCGAAUUUGCUACCAGAAGCAGGGCUGACUUAACAGAAUAUGUAAUAUGUGCCAUUUGCUUAGCACUUUGGGCAGCAGGCAGUCAGU